UCAGGGAUUAGGUAACCGUUGACUCAGGU
rnacentral:piRNA from 1 species